UGCGCAGGCGGUUAUAUAAGACAGAUGUGAAAUCCCCGGGCUCAACCUGGGAACUGCAUUUGUGACUGUAUAGCUAGAGUACGGCAGAGGGGGAGUGGAAUUCCGCGUGUAGCAGUGAAAUGCGUAGAUAUGCGGAGGAACACCGAUGGCGAAGGCAAUCCCCUCGGGCCUGUACUGACGCUCAUGCACGAAAGCGUGGGGAGCAAACA
rnacentral:rRNA from 1 species